UACGUAGGGUGCAAGCGUUAAUCGGAAUUACUGGCGUAAAGCGUGCGCAGGCGGUUGUGCAAGACAGAUGUGAAAUCCCCGGGCUCAACCUGGGAACUGCAUUUGUGACUGCACGGCUGGAGUGCGGCAGAGGGGGAUGGAAUUCCGCGUGUAGCAGUGAAAUGCGUAGAUAUGCGGAGGAACACCGAUGGCGAAGGCAAUCCCCUGGGCCUGCACUGACGCUCAUGCACGAAAGCGUGGGGAGCAAACAGG
rnacentral:rRNA from 1 species